rnacentral:rRNA from 1 species
AUGUCUGGAAGAUCGGGAGAACGUUCUUUUGCUGAUAUUAUCACCAGGGUUAUUCAUAGCAUUACUAUACCUUCCCUAUUCAUUGCGGGUUGGUUAUUUGUCAGUACGGGUUUAGCUUAUGACGUGUUUGGAAGUCCUAGGCCAAACGAGUAUUUCACGGAAAGCCGACAAGGAAUUCCAUUAAUAACCGACCAUUUUGAUUCUUUAGAACAACUCAAUGAAUUUAGUAGAUCCUUUUAG